rnacentral:rRNA from 1 species
AGUGAACGCUGGCGGUAUGCCUAAUACAUGCAAGUCGAACGGACGCACAGUAAGAGCUUGCUCUUACGGGUGGCGAGUGGCUGACGGGUGAGGAAUACAUCGGAAUCUACUUUUUCGUGGGGGAUAACGUAGGGAAACUUACGCUAAUAUCGCAUACGACCUACGGGUGAAAGCAGGGGAUCUUCGGACCUUGCGCGAUUGAAUGCGCCGAUGUCGGAUUAGCUAGUUGGUGGGGUAAAGGCCCACCAAGGCGACGAUCCGUAGCUGGUCUGAGAGGGUGAGCGGCCACACUGGAACUGAGACACGGUCCAGACUCCUACGGGAGGCAGCAGUGGGGAAUAUUGGACAAUGGGCGCAAGCCUGAUGCAGCCAUACCGCGUGGGUGAGGAAGGCCUUCGGGUGGUAAAGCCCUUUUGUUGGGAAAGAAAAGCAGCAGAUUAAUACCCCGCUGUUCUGACGGUACCCAAAGAGUAAGCACCGGCUAACUUCGUG